GAGGCGUGUGUGUGGGAAUUUCAUAUUGUUGGAAAUAUUUUUGGGAGUGUCUCAUUCUGACUGGAUUCAGAUAUGUGAUAUUUUGGCGAUCUCCACUGUUUUUCAGGUUGUUGAUAUUUGUGGAAGCUGCUAACAAUGUAAAAGUGCAUCUGGUCAAUUGGGAAGGCACCACACUGCACAAACGUUCCUCCUACAGCUGCUGGGGUGCUGCUCCAGGAUGCAGUUUCAAAGCUGGUGUUGGAUAAAUGGUCCUGCAGGGAGGUGGUGGAUUUGCUCAGGCACGUCACACAGAGGCUUUCCCUGGGAGAAGUUGUAGGACGCGGCAGAAUUUCUUUCUUCUUUAUGUCUGUGCUGGCUAACGCAGGACAGAGGAGCUUGAAAAGGCUCUCCCUCCUCAAGGAACGCUAUCUGAUUCGUAAGCAUUCCUAGAGGUUAAGGCUGGUGACUAUCAAGAAAGCAAAUACUUCACGCAAGGGUAAGUCCUCUAAUUGUGUUUGUGUUGAAUAGCUGCCAGAUCCCCAUGUCAGGAUGUCUGCAGUCACGGCUCUGAUCUCACCAUUCCUUCCUCGGUUGUUGCACAAUUGUGUUGCAUGUUUGUGGUAUGGGAGAAAGUUGGAGAGCUG
rnacentral:lncRNA from 12 species